UACGGAGGGUGCAAACGUUGCUCGGAAUCAUUGGGCGUAAAGCGCACGUAGGCGGUCCAGAAAGUCGGGUGUGAAAGCCCUCGGCUUAACCGAGGAAGUGCAUUCGAAACUUCUGGACUUGAGUACCGGAGAGGAUGACCGGAAUUCCCGGUGUAGAGGUGAAAUUCGUAGAUAUCGGGAGGAACACCAGUGGCGAAGGCGACUCACUGGCCCGAUACUGACGCUGAUGGCGCGAAAAGCGUGGGGAGCAAACAGG
rnacentral:rRNA from 1 species